UAAUUACUAAUUUGGCCCCACCCUGUUUAUCCUCUACAUGCUCUCCCUUGGCCAUGUCAUCUGCCGGCACGGAAUCUCAUUCCACUGCUAUGCUGAUGACACUCUACUCUACCUCAGGACAAACCCAACCCCCUCUGCUGCUAUCAUC